GUAAGAUACCACUUCACACCCCCUAGGAUGGUUCUAAUAAAAACAAUGGGCAAGUGCUAACAAAGACAUGGAGGAAAUGGAAUCCUCAUAUAUUGCUUGUGGGAAUGUAAAAUGGUGCAGCUGCAUGAAAAACAUUUUGGCAGUUCCUCAAAAAGCUAAGCCUAGAAUUAGCACAUGACAAAGUAAUUCCACUCCUAGGCAUAUACCCCAGAAAGCUGAAAAUAAUUGUCCAUAUAAAAACUUGUACAGGGGCCGGCCCCGUGGCCGAGUGGUUAAGUUCACCCUCUCCGCUGAGGUGGCCCCAGGUUUCGCUGGUUCGGAUCCUGGGCGUGGACAUGGCACCACUCAUCAGGCCACAUUGAGGUGGUGUCCCACGUGCCACACUAGAAGGGCCCACAACUAAAAUAUACAACUAUGUACUGGGGGGAUUUGGGGAGAAAAAGCAGAAAGGAAAAAAAAGAUUGGCAACAGUUGUUAGCUCAGGUGCCAAUCUUAAAAAAAAAAAACAAAAAAACUUGUACAGAAAGGCUCAUAGCAGGUGCUAGGGACUGAAUAGUGUUCCUUCUGAAUUCAUAUGCUGAAGCCCUGCCCUCCAGCAUGAGGGUAUUUGGAGGUGGAGCCUACAGGAGAUAAUUAGAUUUGGAUGAGCUCAUAAUGGUGGGGCCUCCCUGAUGGGAUUAGUGCCCUCAUAAGAAGAAACACCAGAGAGCUUACUCUCUUUCUGUCUACCACGUAAGGACACAGUAAGCCAGGAAGGCAGUUCUCACCAGGACCCCAUUAUCCUGCCACUUUGAUCUCAGACUUCCAGCCUCCAGAAUUGUGAGAAAUGAAUUUCUGUUGUUUCAACCACCUAGUCUAUAGUAUUUUGUUAUGGCAGCCUGAAAUGACUAAGAUAGAUUUUAGUAGAAAGUGGGCUGCUGCUGUAACAAAUACCUAAACAUGUGGAAGCAAUUUUGGAACUGAGUAAUGAGUAGAGGCCAGAAGAAUUUUGAGGUGCAUGCUAGAAAUAUGGAUGUUACAAUUUUGACACUAAUUCCAAUGUGUGGGUUUUUUCCCCACACCAAGCAAUUCUCUGGCGCUAGCUGGGUGUCCUACAAUUCAGCUCAAUUCUGACACUGCCUACCUGAAGAUAGCAUCAUAUUCCACAGGUAAAGGGCUCAGUCCCAUGAGACCGCCCACGCUUCAGAUGCCAAUCGCAAGUCCAGGUUGUUAACUGUGCUUCUGACUGACUGGCUGUAAAUGAGAGGUUCCUACAACCCCCGCCUUGGGUUUGAUUAGUUUAUGAGAGCAGCUCAUGGAACUCAGGAAACAGGUUUACACACUAGAUUACCAGUUUAUUACAAAGGAUGUUAAAGGAUAACAAAUCAACAGCCAGAUGAAGAGCUACAUAGGGUGAGGUCCUGAACAAAGGAACUCUAUCUUCAUGGAGUUGGGGCCUGGCACAGUGGCACAUGGAUGCAUUCUGGUUCAUUAAUUUGGAAGCUCUUCAAACUCUAUCCUUUUGUGUUCUUAUGGAGGCAUCAUUACGUAGGCACAAUUGAGUAAAUCAUUGGCCAUUGGCAAUUGAACUCAAUCUCCAGCCCCCCUUCCCUCCUUAGAUGUCCAGGGUUGGGACUGGAAGUUCUAAUCAUCUAAUCACAUGGUUGGUUCCUCUGUCAACUAAUCUCCAUCCUUGGAUUACUUAGGGGCUUUCCAAAAGUCACCUCAUUAACGUAAGAAAGACACCUGUAUAGCUCUCAUCACUCAGGAAAUUCCAAGAGUUUUAGGAAUUCUGUGCUAGGAACAGGACAGUGAGCAAAUAUCUAUUUCUUAUUAUAAAUCACAAUAUCACAGAUGUUAAUGGCAAUUCUGGUGAGGUCAUGGAAAUGAGAAACAUGUCACUGAAAACUGGAGCGAAGGCAAUCCUUGUUAUAAAGUGGCAAAGAACUUGGCUGAACUAUGUUCUAGUGUUUUGUGGAAGGUAGAAUUUGUGAGUGAUAUAAUUGGCUAUCUAGCUGAGGAGAUUCUAAGCAAAGUAUUGAAGGAGCAGCCUCAUUCCACCUGACUACUUACAAUAAAAUACGAAAGGAGAGAGAUGAAUUGAAGAAGGAAUUGUUAACCAAAAAGGAAGGAGAACUUGAAGAUUUGGAAAACUCUCAGCCUAUACAUAUUGCAAAAAGUAAGAAAACUUGUUCUGAAGAGAAUGCUAAGCAUGUGGCAGAAGAGAUCACGGGUGCAACUCAUGGACUUAAUCAGCUAUCUCAGCAGAAGCCAAAAGAAAUAGAGAUGGUAUUAUACUAGCAAAGACACUUCCAGUUUGAACUAAAGGGGACAGAGAAAGAAGGACGGAAUGUAAGAAGGCUGUCAGAUUCUUGGAUUCUCCAGGACUGGACUAUAGAGAUAUUCAUCUACAAAUGUGCACUAUUCUUCAUAAAAACAGAAGAAUGACCCCCGAGGCAAUCAGAGAUCAUAAGAGCUGCCUUCUUGGUUUCAAAGAGUGAGGUCACUGCCUCAAUUUCAACAGGCCAAAGGGCCUCCACCCUAGAGCUUUGGGGGUGGGGCCACCCAGAGCCUUGGAGGCAGGACCCCAGCCUGGCAGAGCCUUGGGGGCGCAAUCUCUGCCUAGCAGAGCUGAGGGGGCAGGAUUGCCACCUGAGUGAGUCGUAAAGGUAGAACUGCCAACCCAGUGGUUCUGGAUAGUGAGAUAUCAAGCCAAAGUAGGAUUAUUUUCAAGCCUUGAGACCUAAUGGAAUUUGCCUCACUAGGUUUUGGACUUGCCUGGGACCUGUCAUGCUGUCUUUCUUUCCUAGUUCUCCCUUUUGGAAUGGGGAUGUCCAUUCUAUGCCUGUCCCUCAAUUGGAUUGCACAUAAUUUAUCUGGUUUCACAGGUUCACAGCUGGAGAGGACCUUUCCCUCAGGAUGAAUAAUACCUUGAAUUGCACCCAUAUCUGAUGAUAUUUAGAUGAGACUACGGACUUCAGACUUUAGAGUUAAUGCUGGAAUGACUUAAGAUUUUGGGGCCUGUUGAAGUGAAAUUAAUGUAUUUUGCAUGUGAGAAGAACAUGAAUUUUGGGAGGCACAGAAUGCUAUGGACUGAAUUAUGUCCCUCUUAACGUUCAUAUGUUGAAGCCCUAACUCACAAUGCGAUAGUAUUUGGAGAUGGGACCUUUGGGAGGUGAUUAGGUUUAGAUGAGGUCAUGAGAAUGGAGCCCUCCUGAUGGGAUUAGUGCCUUUAUAGGAAAAGACACCAGAGCACUCGCCCUCUCUCUACCACGUGAGGAUACAACAAGAAGGCAACCAUGUGCGAGCCAAGAAAAGAGCCCUCACAAGAAACUGACCAUGUUGGCACCCUGAUCUCAGACUUUUAGCUUCCACCCAGUCUAUAGUAUUUAGUUACAGCAGCGUGAGAUGACUAAGACAGUAGGAUUGUUCAUGAAUCAAAGAGCGGAAACAACCCAAAAGUCCAUCAGUUGGAAGAAUUUUUUCCCAGGGGGAAUUUCUCCAUGGUAGUUUGCAUACAGCUGCAACUGAAACAGCGGUCUGGUGGUGGAGACUGAAGGACAGACAGUGGGUAGGUAGUUCUACGUAAAAUCACAUCUAUCACACUAAGAAGAAAACCAGGUUCCUUGUUAGUGGCUGAUGACAAUGGGGAUUCAGGGGUUUCUGAACUCAGAAAACGUUGGCUAACAUGCUUUUAUAGGUCUGCAUUGAGACAUGAAUAUUCUAAGCUGAGGGAUGCUAUUGUGGGUCUGGAAGGCACAGGGCAGAUGUUCUGAUGUUGGCUUUAUGGAUACCCAUAAAGAAAUCCUCCAGUGUAUUGAAAACAAACAGUCCUUCGCCUUCUAUCAGAUUCAAAUUUCACCUUUAUUCCUUUUGAUAGGAAUAAAAACAUAUACGUACAAUGGCAAACACAAAACAAAUUCCAGUGGAAAUACUCCAUAUUUCAGGCUGAAGGACAUGAACAGGGGCCACUGUGGGUCACCCUCAUGACCCACUCAGAACAGAGGCUAUUCAUUUAUUCCUUCAGUUCAUUAAUUCACUCAUUUAUUCAGCCAAUAUUCAUCAUGAAGUUUUUGCAUGCAAAGUGUUGAAGAGAGAGAACAUGGUUCUGACCUUGUGUCUCAUAGUCCAUUUGGUGACAGAAAUGUGACAAAUAAUUACAAUGCAAUAUGACCAUUGAGGUGAGCAUUCACAAAGCUGUGAGAACACAGACAAAGGAGUAACUAACACAGUCUAGGAAUUAGGGAAGAUUUUACACACACACACACAUACACUCAUAUGCACACUGACACAUGCACACACACACAGAUACUUAUCUGAUAGAGAUGCCAAGGGCUGGUUUGGUGAGAAAUCGCUGACCUUCAACCUGCCCUUAAACAAUCCAUGGUGCAUAGGUCAUCCGUGGAUUUCUCUAAAUCCAUCUAAGGCUGAAAAUAACAGAAAAAUUAGUAAAGGAGGGAAGUUGCUUAGAGUGUCUCCAGUUCUGGGAUGAAGAGGAUGGGCAAUUUCCUUUGUCCUACUAAAGCAUAAACCAUCUUCUGGGUAUGAAGAAAAUAGCAAUUUGGUGUAACUUAUUUAUUCAUCUUAUUUGUUCAUGU
ensembl:lncRNA